rnacentral:rRNA from 1 species
GACGAACGCUGGCGGCGUGCUUAACACAUGCAAGUCGAACGGAAAGGCCCUGCUUUUGUGGGGUGCUCGAGUGGCGAACGGGUGAGUAACACGUGAGUAACCUGCCCUUGACUUUGGGAUAACUUCAGGAAACUGGGGCUAAUACCGGAUAGGAGCUCCUGCUGCAUGGUGGGGGUUGGAAAGUUUCGGCGGUUGGGGAUGGACUCGCGGCUUAUCAGCUUGUUGGUGGGGUUGUGGCUUACCAAGGCUUUGACGGGUAGCCGGCCUGAGAGGGUGACCGGCCACAUUGGGACUGAGAUACGGCCCAGCCUGCUACGGGAGGCAGCAGCGGGGAAUAUUGCACAAUGGGCGGAAGCCUGAUGCAGCAACGCCGCGUGCGGGAUGACGGCCUUCGGGUUGUAAACCGCUUUCGCCUGUGACGAAGCGUGAGUGACGGUAAUGGGUAAAGAAGCACCGGCUAACUACGUG